UACAGAGCCCCCACCGAGAAGAAAGCCUUACUAGAUGCACCCCCUGGACCGUGGCCUUCCCAGCCUCCCAAACAGAUUCAGAAGCUAUUCAGGAGCAUUCCUACAUUAUGGCAACACAGAUAUUUACCUUUCUUCAGCCCUUUUCUGCCUAUAAAGGCAACCUCCCCUGCUCGGCUGAUUGGAGGACCUUUUCUAAAUUUUUAGAUGGGAUGCUGC